rnacentral:lncRNA from 1 species
AGAACCAGUCCGACCAGCUUGGCGCUGGGACGCCUCCCCGCGCUGUGCCGCGGCCCGGGGUGCCGAGGAGCUGGGCUGGGGGCGGGGACCCCUGCCGGGAACCCGACUUAGCCCGGAGACGCUCAAGAGCAAGAAGCCGAGCGGAAAAGUUAGCGCAGGUUGUGGAAAUCAUAUGAGUUCCCUGCUAGUGACAUUGGAGUGCACAGAUGAAUAUCGACAAGGCUCCAGGGAGUUCUGAACAGAGGCCAAGGCAGGCCCUGGAGCUGUAUGCUGCUUACAGGAAAAGAGAAAGAGGGGACCCCAAUAGUCUAGGUCCCUGGAUCCUCUGACCCGGGGCCUGACACUGUCAGGGAAGCUGCUGUCUCCCUAGGGACCUACUGAAUGUUCUUCCCAUGGCUGGUCAGUGCUGACACCUCAACACAGGAAGAGAAAUACUCCUAUGAAGUCAUCUGAAGCCUGGUCAUGCCAGGGACACUUCACGAAGGCAGGAACAGUCCUGUUUCUAAAAGCCCAAAAUCUAACAGCCUCUCUACAGAUAUAAAAGCCCAAAGACAUGGAAAGUUUGUAUGCAGACAACCCUAGAAGUAAGGAAAAGUGAAUGACAUAUAUGUCAAUGCCCAGAAAGUUCCUUGAGAUCAGACACUGUACAUUUAUGGGAUACUUUCUAAGUGCCAGCUACUGUACUUGGUGCUGGAUCAGUGCAUCCAUUUCCCGGGGCUCCCGUGAUGAAGUGCCACAAACUGGAUGGCUUUAAACAACAGAAGUUUACUCUCUCACAGUUCUGAAGGUUAGAAGUCUGCCAUGAAGAUGUGAGCACAGCCAGCCUCUCUCCAAAGGCUCCAGAGGAGAAUCCUUCCUUGCUUCUUCCCAGAGCUCCUUGGCAUACAGCUGCAUUACUCCAAGAUUUGCCUCUCUUGUCACACAGCAUUC